rnacentral:lncRNA from 1 species
AUGAGUUUUGCUGGAGCCUUUUGGCCAAGCAUUGAGAACAAAUGUUGGAGAUCUUCUGAAACACCUGGCUUUGGUGCUGGGUGCCUUAUACAGGUGAGGCCAUUCAAGCUAAAGGGGUGCAGCCAAGUUUAUAAAGUCACUAAGAGGAGCUGGUGGUCCUUGAGCCACCCAGGUCUUCAUGCCCGUGAAGCUAAAGCUGCAAAAAUCCCCGUGAAGCAGCCCCUGUUGGGAAAAAGAACCCCCCAAGCCAAAAUCCAAGGAGCUGCAGCUACAUCCUCUCUGGGCAUCACAAAGACUGGCCAGGUGUAUGCACACCCUUUGCAACCCCUCCAGGCGAACCACAGUCUGCAAAAAUCCUCCACAGUCAGAAGGAGCAAAAGCCAAAGCCUGAUCUGUUUAUUUUUUGCUCUUCUGAUGUUAUUUAGGUCAUGUAUUUGA